rnacentral:rRNA from 1 species
CUACGGUCGCUGCAGUGGGGAAUAUUGCACAAUGGGCGCAAGCCUGAUGCAGCCAUGCCGCGUGUAUGAAGAAGGCCUUCGGGUUGUAAAGUACUUUCAGCGGGGAGGAAGGGAGUAAAGUUAAUACCUUUGCUCAUUGACGUUACCCGCAGAAGAAGCACCGGCUAACUCCGUGCCAGCAGCCGCGGUAAUACGGAGGGUGCAAGCGUUAAUCGGAAUUACUGGGCGUAAAGCGCACGCAGGCGGUUUGUUAAGUCAGAUGCGAAAUCCCCGGGCUCAACCUGGGAACUGCAUCUGAUACUGGCAAGCUUGAGUCUCGUAGAGGGGGGUAGAAUUACAGGUGUAGCGGUGAAAUGCGUAGAGAUCUGGAGGAAUACCGGUGGCGAAGGCGGCCCCCUGGACGAAGACUGACGCUCAGGUGCGAAAGCGUGGGGAGCAAACAGGAUUAGAUACCCCUGUAGUC